rnacentral:rRNA from 1 species
ACKGAANUCGAAGCCAUGCCGCGUGAGUGACGAAGGCYCUUAGGGUUGUAAAGKUCUUUUGGCGGGGAAGAUAAUGACGGUACCCGCAGAAUAAGCUCCGGCUAACUUCGUGCCAGCAGCCGCGGUAAUACGAAGGGAGCUAGCGUUGUUCGGAAUCACUGGGCGUAAAGCGCACGUAGGCGGAUGUGUCAGUCAGGGGUGAAAUCUCGGAGUCUCAACUUCGGAACUGCCCUUGAUACAGCACGUCUUGAGUCCGAGAGAGGUGGAUGGAAUUCCUAGUGUAGAGGUGAAAUUCGUAGAUAUUAGGAAGAACACCGGUGGCGAAGGCGGUCCACUGGCUCGGUACUGACGCUGAGGUGCGAAACSUGGGGAGCAAACAGGAUUAGAUAC